UCUCCUGGAAAACGGGUGGUAAUGCCGGAUGCUCCAGUUGAUCGCAUGGUCUUCUGGGAAAGCUUUCGCGGUAUGGGAUGGGGUCGCGUCCUAUCAGCUUGACGGCGGGGUAACGGCCCACCGUGGCUUCGACGGGUAGCCGGCCUGAGAGGGCGACCGGCCACAUUGGGACUGAGAUACGGCCCAGACUCCUACGGGAGGCAGCAGUGGGGAAUAUUGCACAAUGGGCGCAAGCCUGAUGCAGCGACGCCGCGUGAGGGAUGGAGGCCUUCGGGUUGUAAACCUCUUUUAUCGGGGAGCAAGCGAGAGUGAGUUUACCCGUUGAAUAAGCACCGGCUAACUACGUGCCAGCAGCCGCGGUAAUACGUAGGGUGCAAGCGUUAUCCGGAAUUAUUGGGCGUAAAGGGCUCGUAGGCGGUUCGUCGCGUCCGGUGUGAAAGUCCAUCGCUUAACGGUGGAUCCGCGCCGGGUACGGGCGGGCUUGAGUGCGGUAGGGGAGA
rnacentral:rRNA from 1 species